UUUGAAGAGAGGAUCAAGAAUACAGAUUUAAGACAAAAGGCAUCAAUUACGAUCGUUUAAAUAACUUGCCCAGAGCACAGCAUCUCGUGUACAGCAUGAAGUUUUCAGCUAUCAAGAUUUCUAGAGACUCCAGAAUGAAAACCAAGCCCUGCACUGCAAAACAUGAAUGUCUUUCUUAGUUUUCUUUUGUCUUGUUUUCUAAUAUUAAUAUCUGAAAAUUCUUAGAUUGAGAUACACUGACUUGGUAAGCAAGUGGCUUAAGAUAUUAAGUUUUGUUUAUUGAAAUAAAUGAUGGAAAUCAAGAGG